UGGAACUUCUGAAACGUACGUUUUUAAUCAUAAAUUAUAUUUUUCACUCUUCAAUGAUGAAGCUAAUAUCUACCCAGCAAAGCUCUUUGGAUCUAGUACCCACAUGAGAGAAGGAAGGACAGUCGAUGUGAAGUGCAGCACUACAAGCACCAGAAAACCGUUGAGCAAGGUCUAUGUUUACCUUUGCAAGAAUGGAAGUGGAAUGAGAGUAAGAGAGCUGGAGAAAGGUGAAGAUGACACCAUUUUCACCAUCAAGGAUGUAAAAUGAGAGGACACAGCCAUAUACAGCUGUGUGUACAGCACACCAUAUUCAAACUAAAACUCAGUCAAGUGAACUCAACAAGUGUCAAUCUAGCCAUCAUUCAGGUCUACAAGGAGGGAGAAGGUAGGACCUACUUUGUGUUGUAUAUGGAUGGAUAAUCAAGUGUUUAUACUGACUAUAUGGCAACUUCUGUGUAAAUACGUAUGUCUCUCUGUUCUGUAUUUCAGAAGAGGUUCAUCAAGAGGUCCAUAAAGAGGCUACACAUGAUGUGAGACUGGUCAAUGUAAUCCGACUGAUAAAUUCAGUUGUUGUGGUUAUACUUCUUUUGACUGUAUUAUAUGUUAGUUACUACUGUCCAAACAUAUAAUGGUCUGUUUCCUGGAUGACAUACAGUACAGUCAUAACAACAACAGAAUAGCAAUACUAUUUUCUUGAUAAUUCUUACAUGUAAUCUACAGUAAGUCUUUAGGUUCAUACCACAAAUACACACGGUAGAGAGAGUUACCUAACGUUUCAACAACACUUUAACACCAUGAUCAUGUUCAUCUUUAUCCUGUGUUCCUUGUCAAAAGAGACCAUAGCACAAACAAAAGUAAAGGACAUUUUUCCAGCAACGAUCUAUGGGACAGAAACAAGAAUAAUGGAGGACAGUGACCUAGUAGUAAAAUGUAGUACAUUUGGGCGCAAGGAUGAAUCAGAAGUGGUACAUGUGUACUUGUGUUUGGAGCGGGUUGCAGUGUAUGUGGACAAAUGUGAAACAUAUGAUACCCUUUUCACCAUGAAAAGUGUAACUAGCCAACAGACUGGCAAUUACAGCUGUGUGUUCUCUAAAACCCAAUAUCCAC
rnacentral:lncRNA from 1 species